AUGGAAGUUACAAAAAGGUUUGUUACAAAACGCAACAAUUAAAUAAUAUUUUUGAGAGUAUUAAAAGCGUUAAUAUUUGUAAGAGCAUCUUCAAAUGCAUGGCAGUGCUAUAAACUGAAGGCAGAACAUAAACAAAUAAAAGUUGUCAAGGCAACGGUAUAAACAAACACGGCGGCAACAAACAAAUAAAAUUAUUGUUGAAGAGGAAGUAUUUUUGCUGCGGUGAAAUUACUUUUUAUAACUCUAUAAAUAAGUGUAUUCAUACAACCAAGCGUUAAAAUGAAUUAUUACGAUGAGGAGAUUUCAAUUAGUGGACCAGAUUCCAAAAAUCUAAGUCAUUUUAAAGUGGAUAGAAUACCAAGCAAUGGCAGUGGUCGGACCGCAUCGACUAAUCGCACCGCUACUUUGCGUCGCAGUAAGAUUCAUGGUAGCUCGACCGACGAUGAUGGACUAUUGCAGGAUAUUAUUGAUCACGAUGACGAGGAUGACGACGACGAUGACGACGAUGAUGUAAGUGAAAUUCAGCCGCGUUUAAUAGACGGUUCAGCACGUGGCACAGCUAACCAACGCCCACAGACACGACCGGGCAGCGCACGCAGCACUGCCAAUGUAUUAUCCGCUAAGCCGCUGAUGCGGGGCGGUGGUGGUGGUGGACUCAUUGUACCAUCCGAAAGUGAAUCGGAUGAAGCCGUUUCACCACAACCACAAAUUGAAGUUAUUGGAGAUGCGGCAGCAGUACAAUCAUCUCCGCCAGAGCAACAGUUGUCCAUCAAACCUGAAUAUUGGGAAAAUUUGGCAAUAAAUCAGGAGCUAAAGGAACUCUUUCCGUACAUAUUAAAAUAUACACCGCAAUCAAUUGAUACACCUUAUCGCCUGCAACCUUUCAUACCGGAUUUUGUACCAUCUGUCGGUGAUGUGGACGCCUUCCUCAAGGUCACCAUACCUCCACUAUCGAAGCCUCAACGUCAGCAAGAAAUCAACGAGUAUUUACAUAAAAUGGGUAUUUAUCUGCUUGACGAGCCAUCCGGCGAACAAUCGGAGCCGAGUUUGCUGAAUAUGAAAUUGCGUUCGGUGCUCACUGGCAGUGGUUCAAAUGCGCGCUCUGCAUCGGCUUCGCUGAUUCCAACUGCCAAAUCGCCUAAGGAAAUUGACAAGUGGAUUAAUGAGGUCGAGAAAUUGCAUAUGACCCAAACCGUAAAUGAUAUACAACCGCGCAAAGAGAUUGAGCCCUUGUUGAUGAAUUGGCCGCGCUCGUAUGCUGAUGCUAGUGCAGCCGUGCAACAGGCGUAUCAGCAGUGCCUGGAAGAUGACGACGUUGCGCGUUAUGUGCGCACACUCUGCCAACAGUUCGAGGUGGAUGGGCCUAUAGAAACGCAGGUCCAUUACAUAAUGAGCGUGCAGACAUUGUUCGCACUAUAUUUGGCCGCCAAUCAAGCAUGGGAAUGAUUAACAGAAAAGUCAAAUAGCCAAAAUGCUUGUAAACGCUUACUUAAAUGUCUGAUGUGCCCACGCUUUCUGAAGUCCUACGAUAUUUUCGAAUAUAUGACAUAUUGAAAUAUGCACCGCAAUACAAACUUCAACUUUAUCUAACGAUUAAUUCUUUAAAAUAAGCUUUCAAUCAGAGUACCUGUGUUUGAAUCAUUCUCUGCCUUGGAAGGUUGGAUAUGUUGUACACAACGCGGUUUUGGUAUUAUUGCUCUAAUUGAAUUGCUUGGCAUUUGUGUGAGCCUAAAUGACUGUGUUGCUCCCAUGCACACGCACUGAUGUAAGUCCCUUCAUUACGUGAUUCUCUCUCCACGCACUCUUCGGUAAGCGAAUAACUCAUUUCGCAGCGCCAAUAUUUGACCCUAAUCGCCACCCCAACAAACGACGGUCUUCACCUACUACCGAUAUGAACGUACACACACAAACCCCACCACUAAAUCGGAUUCUCUACUCGAUGCGCCUACUGCUAAGCCUCAAUUAGUCGAUGGUUAUUCCAUAACUAAUGCGAUGCAUUGAGCUGCAUUGUCGGCCAGUGAUUGGGCCGCCGCAUUCGCUGAUUAGGCAAAUGAACUAAAUCAUGGCAGUUAAGAUAACCGUGGCCAAGUGGUAAAGUGUUUGGGCACUGAAUGCAGGUGAAUGCACAUGUUCACAGGAAUUUAUGAUUGACGAAGGGAAUUCUGUUUGUUUACAUAUGCGAGGUGCAUGUUAGUUUCUCUCCACUGGGUGUUUAAUUUAAAAUGUUCUGAGGAUCUUAUAGCUGCAACUUUUAUAGAAUUCAAGGCUACGACAACCGUUGAAGUCAUAGAACUAUUAUCAUCAUACUUACCUAAAAAUAUACUUUAGAUUAUAUAUUCUUCUUCUUUAUUGACGCAGACACCGCUUACGAGG